rnacentral:rRNA from 1 species
CGACGUGGGUAACCUGCCUCAUACAGGGGGAUAACGAUUGGAAACGAUUGCUAAUACCGCAUAAGCGCACAGCACCACAUGGUGCAGUGUGAAAAACUCCGGUGGUAUGAGAUGGACCCGCGUCUGAUUAGCUAGUUGGUGAGGUAGCGGCCCACCAAGGCAACGAUCAGUAGCCGACCUGAGAGGGUGACCGGCCACAUUGGGACUGAGACACGGCCCAG